GCUUUGAUGGUUUAGUGGUAAAAUCCAAGCUUCCCAUGCUUGGGCCCCGUGUUCGAUUCACGGUCAUAGCA